rnacentral:rRNA from 1 species
GAUUGUAGUCUGCAACUCGACUACAUGAAGCUGGAAUCGCUAGUAAUCGCGAAUCAGCAUGUCGCGGUGAAUACGUUCCCGGGUCUUGUACACACCGCCCGUCACACCAUGGGAGUCGGUAACGCCCGAAGUCAGUGACCCAACCGGAAGGAGGGAGCUGCCGAAGGCGGGACUGGUAACUGGGGUGAAGUCGUAACAAGGUAUC